CCUGCUCAAUGUAAUUUAAUAGCCGCGACUCUCGUGCUAAGGUAGCAUAAUAACUUGUUCCCUAAAUAGGAAAUUGCAUGAAAGAACAAACAUUUUCAUUCUAUAAUUUAUAUUUACAUUUAAAUUAAAUAAAAGAUUAAAAUAUCUUUAUUAUUAAGGAAGACGACAAGACCCUACGAACUUAACUUAAAAGAUUAACUGGGGAAGUAUAAUAAAGACAAUUUAUUAAUAAAAUUUCUAUCUAAGCUUUACAGAAUAAAACAAAGUUACCGUAGGGAUAACAGCGCAAUUUGUAUUAUAAGCUCUUAUAAAAAUACAAUCUUACGACCUCGAUGUUGAAUUAAUAUUACUAUAAUAAGCACAAAUAUUAUAAGAAAGUCUGUUCGACUUAUAAAUUUUUACAU
rnacentral:rRNA from 1 species